GCGCCUGUAGCUCAAUGGAUAGAGCAUUGGCCUUCUAAGCCAAGGGUUGAAGGUUCGAGUCCUUCCAGGCGUGCCA
rnacentral:tRNA from 1 species